rnacentral:rRNA from 1 species
UACGAAGGGGGCUAGCGUUGCUCGGAAUCACUGGGCGUAAAGGGUGCGUAGGCGGGUCCUUAAGUCAGGGGUGAAAUCCUGGAGCUCAACUCCAGAACUGCCUUUGAUACUGAGGAUCUCGAGUUCGGGAGAGGUGAGUGGAACUGCGAGUGUAGAGGUGAAAUUCGUAGAUAUUCGCAAGAACACCAGUGGCGAAGGCGGCUCACUGGCCCGAUACUGACGCUGAGGUGCGAAAGCGUGGGGAGCAAACAGG